rnacentral:tRNA from 1 species
AAAUACUCAUUUUUUUCACAAUGGGUUCUAUAUUUCGAAAAUUUAUAAUAAGUUUUUUACUUUUCUUAUUAUUAUAUGUUUAAUGAAACCAAAAAUACGAAACGGGACUAAGGAUGUGGAAAACAAGACAGGAAUUCUCUACAAUGACACUGUAGAACAAUUGAAGGGAUGUGGCGCAGCUUGGUAGCGCAUUUGUUUUGGGUACAAAAUGUCACGGGUUCAAAUCCUAUCAUCCCUACCUAUUACUGCUCCUUUGAGCAGUAACAAGGAAUCAACUGAGAUCCAUUCAAAUUGGGUAGAAUCUUUCAUUUUUUGAAGCUAUAUAGUAUAUGCAGACAAAAUGAAAAUGGAUUAGGGUUACAAAAAUAAUCUUUUUCUUUAUAGUCUUAUCUU